GACGAACGCUGGCGGCGUGCUUAACACAUGCAAGUCGAGCGGUAAGGCCCUUUCGGGGGUACACGAGCGGCGAACGGGUGAGUAACACGUGGGUGACCUGCCCUCAGCUCUGGGAUAAGCCUGGGAAACCGGGUCUAAUACUGGAUAUGACUCCAUGACGCAUGUUGUGGGGUGGAAAGCCUUGUGCGGCUGAGGAUGGGCCCGCGGCCUAUCAGCUUGUUGGUGGGGNGAUGGCCUACCAAGGCGACGAUGCAUAGCUGGUCUGAGAGGAUGAUCAGCCACACUGGGACUGAGACACGGCCCAGACUCCUACGGGAGGCAGCAGUCGGGAAUCUUGCGCAAUGGGCGAAAGCCUGACGCAGCAACACCGUGUGUGUGAGGAAGGCCCUCGGGUCGUAAAGCACUGUUGUGGGGGACGAAGGGCGAAGGGUUAAUAG
rnacentral:rRNA from 1 species